UGCCUUCCCUCCAAGCCAAAAGCUGCUGUUUUCUGGGGAUUUUCUCAAGCUCUUCCAGGUGAAAUGUACAGAACAUUACUUAAUGUAAGAACAACACAGAGCAAUGGAGAAGUUCUUUCCACUUUGGUACCAAACUGAAUUCAAAUACCUGUUUCCUGUGUCAGGUUCAGUAUAAAACUAUAUUCAUCCUCAUGUCUAUGGACCAGUGUCUUGAUGAUCAACCUCUAGUAAAGUUUCGUGAGCCUGCAUCUCUGAAUCCGGCAACUCUCCUCCCAGAUGACGACCCAGAGGAACCCCUCCUCGACUGCGUCAAAACUAUAGAGGCACUCCAGGAACUCUGACCUGACCUGACAGAUGUGCCCUGGGAGGAACCUUAUGAGGUGAUGUUCACAGAUGGAAGCAGCUUCAUUGCCGACGGGAUCAGCCCUUCAACAGGUACUGAACCAAAUUCACCCCUUGAUUCGAGAAGCCCACCCACUGGCAAGAGAACUGACACCACACCCACACCAGCCAGGGACCUCUUCUGGGUAAAGCACCACCACCCGUCUACCCUUGAGCCCAGGUGGCAAGGACCCUUCCAUCCUGACCACCCCAAUGGCUGUAAAGGUUGCAGGAAAGAGCCAUUGGAUACAUCACACCCAACUCAAAUGAGCCUCCAAACCUGACUGAUGGACCUGCAACAAUUCCAGGAAAAAUGGAUGGCCCAGCACUCACCAGAAGACUCACUAAAGAUAAGACUCACUCAUCUCCUUAAUUGUAUUAAUUGUUUUUCAUUAUGUAAUGUCUGUAUUGGGGAGCCUGCAUCAACCUAAAACUUAUACCUGGGAGUUAAAUGCCACUAGUACAGGAAAAAUUAUUGACUGUCACUACCCCAGAGGCCCCAACCUUCCUAGUUGAUCUCUGUGAAUUAAUGUCAGGCAGUCUCCAAUUAAAAACCCAGACUACUGGCAUCCAGGCUAAUGGACCUAUGGGGGGAGGAGUAAUGGUAGUAUCCCCCCCCACUCAUGUGGCUACCAAAAAUAUGAACAGGGAUUAAGGGGCAUACAAUUUUAUGCAUGCCCAGCUUCAGCCAGUCCCUCCUGCCAAGGGGAAAAACAAUACCACUGUGCCGUUUGGGACUAUGAAACUGAAUUCUCUUGGACACACACAGAACCUUGGAUACAGCUGACUAGAUGACAAGCCCGCUCAGGGGACUGCUCUGUUAACCAAUGUAACCCCAUGAAUCUAACUCAUACUUCGGCAUCCAUAUAUGAGUGAGACAUGGAAGGCUGGUAGGACCUGGGGCAUAAGGCUACAUAUUUCUUGAGUAGACCCUGGGGGAGAAUUCACUAUUCAAUUGCUAUGAGAAAAACAACUGAGCAUCCCUAUUGGCCCUAACCAGGAUCUCCUACCCCUUCCCCCAUGCUCCAAAUACCCUAACCAAGAUGUUCUCCCUCAACCUCCACCCUCACCCCCUUAUUCGACUCCCCAGGUUCAAACCCCCAAGUCCCUUAACCGAACCUCUAACUAUGUUUUUACAAAUCCUCUCCUUAAUACUUUAGACUCUGUCUUUAUGUUUAUUAAUCAGUCUAACCCAAGUUUAACAUCCGAUUGUUGGCUAUGCUUAAAUCCUGAACCUCCUUAUUAUGUUGGGUUAGGUGUAAACAGCUCUUUAGGGGAAAGUAACAGAACUGUAAGAGCUCGAAGUUUAUUUGCAAUCGCCAUCCAAAAGCUUUGCUCAUGGAGAAGGAAGCCCAAAUUCACACUCGGUGGCAUUAGAGACCAAGGGCUUUGCAUAAAAACAAGCAACUACAGUCUCCAGAGUUCCCCAUAUAAAACAACAUGCACAUAUGUAAUAGACAUCACUAAUGCAAUCCAUAGUCAACAAGAAUCUAAAUACCUUGUUGCCCUCUCCCACACUUGGUUUGCUUGCUUAACAGG